AUGGGCGCUCGCCUUUUCAAGUCCUUCUUUUCCCAGCCCCCUGUCUUGGGCCCAGCCGGGCUCACUGUUCGAGAUGCAGGUCCAAAGCUCGCCGGCCUGCAAGCCUUUUGCGGGGCUCGCACAGAACCUUCCUCGGCCAGCUGUCGAGCUGGGCUGGGCCCUGGGGGGCUCCCAGAGUAUUGCACAGCGGACAGAGCGGGGCUGGGAGGAAGGGAGGGAGAACCGGGGCCUGACCGAGCAGAGCGGGGUCCAGAUGAACCGCGCGGGCCCCAAAUCCGCCUCCUACUCCCCAGCGGGAACACAGCAGCCAUCUCCCAGCCGGUUCUCGCCACAGCCUGGCGCCAGUUCGCAUGCGCAGCGGUCCCGGCCCUCCCGACCCACUGGAGACCACGCCUCUGUCCCCAAAUGGGCGGAGGCCGCGGGGCGGGGCGGACCGCAGCGGGGGAGUCUGAGCCCCGGCCCCGGCCCCAGGCCAGCCCCAGCGGAUCCGUCGCGCGGACCGGUCCAGCCUCGGCUCCAGCGCCCGCGCCGUGCCCUGCAUCCCCGGAGUCUGGCUCAAUCCACGGCGGCGCGGCAGGUAGGAGGCGCUGCGCAGAGGGAGGCGUGUGCGGCCGCGCGUGUGUUCGUGUGUGUGUUUCGGGGGUGUGUGUGCCGCUGCAGCGAGGGCCAGUGCGUGUGCCCUGUGGGCAUGAGGCGGUGUGGGGGGUGCACAUCCCGCAGCCAGGGGAGGAAGGAGGUGAGCGCUGGCCUUCAGCCCUGGGGGGGCGGGGGCCUCGGGCAUCCGCCGCUGCCCCGGGGUUCGUCCCCAUCCCCACCCCCGCCCCGCGGCGAAGGGCCCCCCAGAGUCCGUUUCCUAGCUCAGACGCGCUGGGGUUUAACCCCCGGGGCUUGACCUGCUCUUCCUCUUCUCUUCCUCACACUUUCCCUCUCCUGUUCCCUUCCCAGCCCUCCACCCAUUCGAUUCCACAGCCCCUCCUGGGUGCCCCCAUCCCCCGUCCCUGGAGGCUUGGGAAAGGGGCUAAGGCCAAGGCCGAGUCCCUUCCUGGCCCUCCUCUCGGGUGGAAUAGGGGCCCUUUUUCGGGGCUGCUGGCCUUGGGUGUGUGUGUGAGGGGGUCGGGGGGAGGCGAGGAGAUCUGGGAGAGAAUGGAUCCUGGGCUUCUCUGA
rnacentral:lncRNA from 1 species